rnacentral:rRNA from 1 species
GCGCGAGUCGCAGGGCCGUACGAAACCCGAAGGCGCAACGAAAGUGAAGGCCGCCCUCGAGGGCGGCUCGGGCGGGAUCCGCGGCGGAGAAAUCGGCCGCGGCGCACCGCCGGCCCGUCUCGGCCGCAACGUCGGCGAGGCGGAGCAAGAGCGCGCGCGUUGGGACCCGAAAGAUGGUGAACUAUGCCCGAGCAGGACGAAGCCAGAGGAAACUCUGGUGGAGGUCCGCAGCGAUUCUGACGUGCAAAUCGAUCGUCGAACUUGGGUAUAGGGGCGAAAGACUAAUCGAACCGUCUAGUAGCUGGUUCCUGUCGAAGUUUCCCUCAGGAUAGCUGGCGCUCGUUGCAGUUUUAUCCGGUAAAGCGAAUGAUUAGAGGCCUUGGGGACGAAACGACCUCAACCUAUUCUCAAACUUUAAAUGGGUAAGAAGUCCGACUCGCUCGAUCGGAGCCGGGCCGUUGCGAAUGCGAGUGCCAAGUGGGCCACUUUUGGUAAGCAGAACUGGCGCU